ACUCCUACGGGAGGCAGCAGUAGGGAAUUUUCCGCAAUGGACGAAAGUCUGACGGAGCAAUGCCGCGUGAGUGGUGAAGUUUCGAAGUUCGUAAAGCUCUAGUUGUAAGGGAUGAUAAGGACAAGAAUAAGGAAAUGAGUUACUUGUUCUUGACGGUGACCUUACCAGAAAGCCACGGCUAACUACGUGCCAGCAGCCGCGGUAAUACGUAGGUGGCAAGCGUUAUCCGGAAUUAUUGGGCGUAAAGCGCAUGUAGGCGGCUUUUUAAGUCUGAUGUGAAAGCCAGUGGCUCAACCACUGAAUUGCAUUGGAUACUGGAAAGCUAGAAUCUUGGAGAGGUAAGUGGAAUUUCAUGUGUAGCGGUGGAAUGCGUAGAUAUAUGAAGGAACACCAAUGGCGAAGGCAGCUUACUGGACAAGUAUUGACGCUGAGAUGCGAAAGUGUGGGUAGCAAACAGGAUUAGAUACCCUGGUAGGAUAGCGU
rnacentral:rRNA from 1 species